CUUUGCGGCACGAGUUGUAGAUUGCAGGUUGGAGUCUGUGUGGAAGGCGGUGUCCAAGUCCCUUGGAACAGGGCGCCCAGGAGGGUGAGAGCCCCGUGGGAUGCCGGCGGAAGCAGUGAGGCCCUUCUGACGAGUCGAGUUGUUUGGGAAUGCAGCUCCAAGCGGGUGGUAAAUUCCAUCUAAGGCUAAAUACUGGCGAGAGACCGAUAGCGAACAAGUACUGUGAAGGAAAGAUGAAAAGCACUUUGAAAAGAGAGUGAAACAGCACGUGAAAUUGUUGAAAGGGAAGGGUAUUGCGCCCGACAUGGGGAUUGCGCACCGCUGCCUCUCGUGGGCGGCGCUCUGGGCUUUCCCUGGGCCAGCAUCGGUUCUUGCUGCAGGAGAAGGGGUUCUGGAACGUGGCUCUUCGGAGUGUUAUAGCCAGGGCCAGAUGCUGCGUGCGG
rnacentral:rRNA from 1 species